rnacentral:rRNA from 1 species
AUUGAACGCUGGCGGCAGGCCUAACACAUGCAAGUCGAGCGAGCGGCGGACGGGUGAGUAAUGUCUGGGAAACUGCCUGAUGGAGGGGGAUAACUACUGGAAAAGGUAGCUAAUACCGCAUACCAUCAGAUGUGCCCAGAUUGGAUGAGCUAGUUGGUGGGGUAACGGCUCACCCAGGCGACGAUCCCUAGCUGGUCUGAGAUGAUGACAGGCCACACUGGAACUGAGACACGUUCCAGACUCCUACGGGAGGCAGCAGUGGGGAAUAUUGCACAAUGGGCGCAAGCCUGAUGCAGCCAUGCCGCUUGUGUGAAGAAGGCCUUCGGGUUGUAAAGCACUUUCAGCGAGGAGGCGUUACUCGCAGAAGAAGCACCGGCUAACUCCGUGCCAGCAGCCGCGGUAAUUC